rnacentral:rRNA from 1 species
GGGCCCGCACAAGCGGUGGAGUAUGUGGUUUAAUUCGAUGCAACGCGAAGAACCUUACCAGGGUUUGACAUCCUGCGAAUUUCUGGGAAACCGGAAAGUGCCUUCGGGAGCGCAGUGACAGGUGGUGCAUGGCUGUCGUCAGCUCGUGUCGUGAGAUGUUGGUUAAGUCCCGCAACGAGCGCAACCCACGUCUUUAGUUGCCAGCAUUUAUGGUGGCACUCGUAGAGCAGACCGGCCUGGAUGAAUAACCGGAGGAAGGUGUGGAUGACGUCAAGUCAUCAUGCCCCUACAUCCUGGGCUACACACGUACUACAAUGCUACGGACAAAGGGCAGCAAACUCGCGAGAGC